rnacentral:rRNA from 1 species
AUGAACGCUGGCGGCGUGCCUAAUACAUGCAAGUCGAGCGAACAGACGAGGAGCUUGCUCCUCUGACGUUAGCGGCGGACGGGUGAGUAACACGUGGAUAACCUACCUAUAAGACUGUGAUAACUUCGGGAAACCGGAGCUAAUACCGGAUAAUAUAUUGAACCGCAUGGUUCAAUAGUGAAAGACGGUUUUGCUUUCACUUAUAGAUUGAUCCGCGCCGCAUUAGCUAGUUGGUAAGGUAACGGCUUACCAAGGCGACGAUGCGUAGCCGACCUGAGAGGGUGAUCGGCCACACUGGAACUGAGACACGGUCCAGACUCCUACGGGAGGCAGCAGUAGGGAAUCUUCCGCAAUGGGCGAAAGCCUGACGGAGCAACGCCGCGUGAGUGAUGAAGGUCUUCGGAUCGUAAAACUCUGUUAUUAGGGAAGAACAAAUGUGUAAGUAACUAUGCACGUAUUGACGGUACCUAAUCAGAAAGCCACGGCUAACUACGUG